rnacentral:rRNA from 1 species
GACGAACGCUGGCGGCGUGCUUAACACAUGCAAGUCGAACGGAAAGGCCCUGCUUUCGUGCGGUGCUCGAGUGGCGAACGGGUGAGUAACACGUGAGUAACCUGCCCUUGACUUUGGGAUAACUUCAGGAAACUGGGGCUAAUACCGGAUAGGAGCUCCUGUUGCAUGGUGGGGGGUGGAACGUUUCGGCGGUUGGGGAUGGACUCGCGGCUUAUGAGCUUGUUGGUGGGGUAGUGGCUUACCAAGGCCGUGACGGGUAGCCGGCCUGAGAGGGUGACCGGCCACAUUGGGACUGAGAUAGGGCCCAGUCUCGUACGGGAGACAACAGGGGGAAAUAUUGCACAGUGAGCGGGCGUGUGAUGCAGCAGCGCCGCGUGCGGGAUGACGGCCUGCGGGUUAAAAACCGCUUUCGCUUGAGACGAAGCUUUAGUGACGGUACUGGGUGAAGAAGCACCGGCUAACUACGUG